GAUGAACGCUGGCGGCGUGCUUAACACAUGCGAGUCGAACGGAAAGGCUCCUGCUUGCAGGGGUACUCGAGUGGCGAACGGGUGAGUAACACGUGGGUGAUCUGCCCUGCACUUCGGGAUAAGCCGGGGAAACUGGGUCUAAUACCGGAUAGGACGAUGGUUUGGAUGCCAUUGUGGAAAGUUUUUCGGUGUGGGAUGAGCUCGCGGCCUAUCAGCUUGUUGGUGGGGUAAUGGCCUACCAAGGCGUCGACGGGUAGCCGGCCUGAGAGGGUGUACGGCCACAUUGGGAAUGAGAUACGGCCCAGACUCCUACGGGAGGCAGCAGUGGGGAAUAUUGCACAAUGGGCGCAAGCCUGAUGCAGCGACGCCGCGUGGGGGAUGACGGCCUUCGGGUUGUAAACUCCUUUCGCUAGGGACGAAGCGCAAGUGACGGUACCUGGAGAAGAAGCACCGGCUAACUACGUG
rnacentral:rRNA from 1 species